rnacentral:rRNA from 1 species
AGUGAACGCUGGCGGUAGGCCUAACACAUGCAAGUCGAACGGCAGCACAGUAAGAGCUUGCUCUUACGGGUGGCGAGUGGCAGACGGGUGAGGAAUACAUCGGAAUCUACUUUUUCGUGGGGGAUAACGUAGGGAAACUUACGCUAAUACCGCAUACGACCUACGGGUGAAAGCAGGGGAUCUUCGGACCUUGCGCGAUUGAAUGAGCCGAUGUCGGAUUAGCUAGUUGGCGGGGUAAAGGCCCACCAAGGCGACGAUCCGUAGCUGGUCUGAGAGGAUGAUCAGCCAAACUGGAACUGAGACACGGUCCAGACUCCUACGGGAGGCAGCAGUGGGGAAUAUUGGACAAUGGGCGCAAGCCUGAUCCAGCCAUACCGCGUGGGUGAAGAAGGCCUUCGGGUUGUAAAGCCCUUUUGUUGGGAAAGAAAAGCAGCAGGUUAAUACCCCGCUGUUCUGACGGUACCCAAAGAAUAAGCACCGGCUAACUUCGUG